AGAGACCAGCAAGCAUUGCAGGUGUGGCUGUUGUGUCACUUGUGCAUCAGUAGCUGACAGAGAGGAGAGAGAGGCUAUGUCUACACUCAGUAUUCUGACCUAUGAACAUCUGAGUGAUUAGUAGCCUAAAAUU